AUAAAUGAAAAAUAAAAUAAAAUUAUCAUAUCCCAUGUGCAUAGCUUAGUGGGAGUCUGGACGUUGUCCUCCAUGCAGUGCAAUUAUCCAAUUGCUAAAUUUAUUAGUACUUUAUGACCUUGUGUAUAUAUUACAGUAUUAUCUUGAGAAAAAUCUUGAUGCGAGGAUGAGGGAGGUAGAACGUGAGGCCGAGCUGAUAUGCUGAAGGCUCCUAAAAUUAAUGCCAAAUCGAAGAUGUCUAAGGCCGAGAAGGAAGCCCUGAAGAAGCAGAAAAGGCAAGCAUUUCAGCAGGCAAAA